rnacentral:lncRNA from 1 species
CUGCUCAAGAUCGGCUGAAGGAAGCAAAGCUACAUUUCUUGUUUUCUGGUUCCUAUGAACAGAAGCAGAAUUUUUUCACAACAGAAAGUGAAGCAACGAAGUUUUGAGGGUUGCUCCUCAUUUAAUGAUGUGGGAUCUUGUUAUGUUACCCAGGCUGGAGAGCAGUGGCUAUUCACAGGUGUGAUCGGCACACUAUGACCUGGAACUCCUGGCCUCAAGUGACCCUCCUGCCUCAGCCUCUCAAGCAGCUGGGACUACAGGCUCCUGACACCAUAUCCAGCUGAACCUGAUUUUAUAUUCCAGUGGCUGACAAACUAUUUAACUCCUCUGAACUACAGAUUCUACCCACCUAAUUUUUGCCAGUUUGUAUGCAAAAGAACAACUUAUCACUUUUUAUUUUCAAGCCACUUCCCUCCAGCCAUGUACAUU